AGGAUGAACGCUGGCGGCGUGCCUAACACAUGCAAGUCGAACGUCCUGUCUCGCAAGAGGCAGGGAGUGGCGGACGGGUGAGUACCACGUGGGUCAUCUACCGUGAGGUGAGGAAUACCGGCGAGAAAUCGCCGACAAGACCGCAUAGGCUCGAUGCAAGUCGAGCAAAGCUCUUUCGAGAGAGGGAGCGCCACACGAGGAGCCUGCGCCCGAUUAGCUAGCUGGUGGAGUAACGGUUCACCAGGGCGACGAUCGGUAGCUGGUCUGAGAGGACGAUCAGCCACACUGGGAUUGAGAACGGCCCAGACUCCUAUGGGGGGCAGCAGUGAGGAAUUUUCCGCAAUGGAGGCAACUCUGACGGAGCAACGCCGCGUGCAGGAGGAAGGUUUUCGGAUCGUAAACUGCUUUUCGUCGGGGACGAGCAAGGACGGUACCCGAGGAAGAACGCCCCGGCUAACUACGUGCCAGCAGCCGC
rnacentral:rRNA from 1 species